GCCGAAGUGGUGGAAUUGGUAGACACGAAGGACUCAAAAUCCUUUGCUAGCGAUAGUGUGCGGGUUCGAUUCCCGCCUUCGGCAUCA
rnacentral:tRNA from 1 species